rnacentral:rRNA from 1 species
AAUAUUGCGUAAUGGAGGGAACUCUGACGCAGCGACGCCGCGUGAGCGAUGAAGGUCUUCGGUGCGUAUAGCUCUUUUCUUGGGGAAGAAGGUCUUCGGACUUGACGGGACCUAAGGAGGAAGCCCCGGCUAACUACGUGGCAGCAGCCGCGGUAAUACGUAGGGGGCAAGCGUUGUCCGGAACUAUUGGGCGUAAAGGGUGCGUAGGCGGCCUUUUAAGUCAGAUGUGACAGCCCACGGCUUAACCGUGGGAUUGCAUUUGAAACUGGAGGGCUUGAGUAUCGGAGAGGGUAGUGGAAUUCCCAGUGUAGCGGUGAUAUGCGUAGAUAUUGGGAGGAACACCAGUGGCGAAGGCGACUACCUGGACGAUUACUGACGCUCAUGCACGAAAGCUAGGGGAGCAAAC